UAUUUUGAAUUAAGUAUAUUCAUAAUAUGUUAUCAGACGAAUGUUGUUAAAGAUAUAGGUUGAUAUUUAUGAAGGGAAAGAAAAGACUUUCCCAACAAACAUUGCACACAAGGUGGAUAUGGAUUUUUAAAGAGUGCCAUAAAACACUCGUUUGUGAAUGAUCCUUCCGCAGGUUCACCUACGGAAA
rnacentral:misc_RNA from 1 species